GGAAACCUUACCUUGGGACUAUAUAAACCCAACUCUCGACCUCUCAUAAACCUAAACCUAAAACGGCAAAGCCUGACGUCAAAAACACAAAAGAGUUAAACACGAGCGCCGAUCUGUAACUCCAUCUUGACACAAAAGCAGAGAUGAGUUCUAAGAUCAGAUCCCGCCGUUAGAUCGAGUCAUGAUCUUGUCUUAUAGAAAGGAUAUGCAAAAUAGAUCGAUGAAUUUUGAAGCAAUAUGUUUCAAAUUGCAGGAAUAUGUUUCAAAUAAAUGUAUUUUUUUUUACUUUUAUCAGAUAUUUCAGGAUAUGCAAAAAAAUUAUUUGUAAUAAAAAUGUAUUUUCAAUACAUGUUUUUUUUUUAUAAUGAAUUUUAACAUUUGUGUUGCAAUUUUUAUGUACUUGUAUAUUAUCAUUUUGAAAGUAAAUUUAUGUUUAUCAUCGCUUCCGUUUCACC